CGGAGUAUGGCGGAUACCGGCUUGCGCCGCGUGGUUCCCAGCGACCUUUAUCCCCUUGUGCUCGGCUUUCUGCGAGAUAACCAGCUCUCAGAGGUGGCCAGUAAAUUUGCAAAAGCGACAGGCGCUACACAGCAGGACGCCAAUGCCUCUUCCCUCUUGGACAUUUAUAGCUUUUGGCUCAAGUAAGCUUUCCUUGCUGUACUUGGGUUAUUUUCUCCCCUAGGUGGGCUGGGUUGGGCUCCUUGGGUUGAGAAGGUCGAUCCCUCAGAAACCAGCCUAAUCUACAUCAACAGGUCCACCAAAGCCCCG
rnacentral:lncRNA from 1 species